rnacentral:lncRNA from 1 species
UCUGGACAGCUUGCAUUGAAUCAUAUAUAACAGUGUUGGUUGUUCUGGACCUUCAAACACAUUUUUUUACAUGGUUCAGAAAUACUCUGUAGUUAAGUAUUAUGGCCAAGUGUUUGCUGAUGCCUUUAACAUUUUAUUUUCUUUCCCUUCUCACAGACAACCAUUAUGUUAAACUAGGUCCAUCUAAAAUGUAACUAACUUGACAUAGAAACUAUGGGAAAAUUUCAAUUUAUAUGCAUGGAACAUCCCAAUGUUGUUAGCAUAUAUCUAGAAUAUUUUAUAAAUUAGAAAUUAAUCUUACUUGUAAGCUUGGAUAUAUUCAGAUGUUCCUCCAUUGUUUUCAGAGGCUUCAUAGGGUUUAGGUACAUAACCAUUGCCUUUGCUUUCAUAUUAUACAAGAGAAACUUAUACACAGUGCAUUGCUAAUGUAUUGUUUGUACACCUUGUGCAGAAGUUGAGCAGCAGGAACUC